GGAUGCGAUCAUACCAGCACUAAAGCACCGGAUCCCAUCAGAACUUCGAAGUUAAGCGUGCUUGGGCGAGAGUAGUACUAGGAUGGGUGACUUCCUGGUAAGUCCUCAUGUUGCAUUCC
rnacentral:rRNA from 16 species